CGUAAAACAAAACUAAAAGAAUGGAAAGACAGGCAAAGGAAGAUCUUACGGGAUGCGGGAAAACCCUAUACAAAUCGUAAGGGUCAAGAAAAAAAUGGGAAAAGCUGUCCAAAAGAGGGAAGAGCGUGUUCCACGACGUGCAGAAAGGAUUGUGGAAAGUUGAUUGAUGAGCGCAAGCUGCAUCUGUUCAACAGUUUCUACACUGUCCCAUACGAGAAACAACCAGCAAAACCAUUCAAGGUGAUGAGGAUGCAAUGUGAAGACUUCAGUCACCUCCCAGAUUCUGUUCUCAAGCGACCAGCUGGACUACAGAUCACUUCAGUGAGGUGGUUAAAAGUCACAUGUAUUGCACAGAGAAUAGUUUACUAACAUCCCAUCAACAUGCAACAUGUUGUUCUAACAAUAAAAUAUCCUAAUGAUU